CCUACGGGGGGCUGCAGUGGGGGAUAUUGCACAAUGGAGGAAACUCUGAUGCAGCAACGCCGCGUGAGGGAAGAAGGUCUUCGGAUUGUAAACCUCUGUCCUCAGGGACGAUAAUGACGGUACCUGAGGAGGAAGCUCCGGCUAACUACGUGCCAGCAGCCGCGGUAAUACGUAGGGAGCAAGCGUUGUCCGGAUUUACUGGGGGGAAGGGGUGCGUAGGCGGCCCGGGAAGUCAGGUGUGAAAAAGAUGGGGUGAACUCAUAGAUUGCACUUGAAACUGUGGGGCUUGGGGGAGGUAGGGGGAGGGGGAAUUGGGGGUGUGGGGGUGAAGGGCGGAGAGGUGGGGAAGAACACCAGGGGGGAAGGUGGCCUGCUGGGCUUUAACUGACGCUGAGGCAGGAAAGCGUGGGUGGCAAACAGGAUUAGAUACCCCGGUAGUC
rnacentral:rRNA from 1 species